GCGCUCGCUUGGGCAGCACAUAUACUAAAAAUUGGAAUGAUACAGAGAAAAUUGGCAUGGCCCCUGCGCAAGGAUGACACGCAAAUUCGUGAAGCAUUCCAUAUUUUU
rnacentral:snRNA from 1 species